UACGUAGGGUGCGAGCGUUAAUCGGAAUUACUGGGCGUAAAGCGUGCGCAGGCGGUUUUGUAAGCCAGAUGUGAAAUCCCCGGGCUUAACCUGGGAAUGGCAUUUGGGACUGCAAGGCUUGAGUGCGGCAGAGGAGACUGGAAUUCCUGGUGUAGCAGUGAAAUGCGUAGAUAUCAGGAGGAACACCGAUGGCGGAGGCAACUACCUGGGCCGUAGCUGACACUGAGGUGCGAAGGUAUGGGGAGCAAAUAGG
rnacentral:rRNA from 1 species